rnacentral:rRNA from 1 species
GGCGAACGCUGGCGGCGUGCUUAACACAUGCAAGUCGAACGGAAAGGUCCUGCUUUUGUGGGGUGCUCGAGUGGCGAACGGGUGAGUAACACGUGAGUAACCUGCCCUUGACUUUGGGAUAACUUCAGGAAACUGGGGCUAAUACCGGAUAGGAGCUCCUGCUGCAUGGUGGGGGUUGGAAAGUUUCGGCGGUUGGGGAUGGACUCGCGGCUUAUCAGCUUGUUGGUGGGGUAGUGGCUUACCAAGGCUUUGACGGGUAGCCGGCCUGAGAGGGUGACCGGCCACAUUGGGACUGAGAUACGGCCCAGACUCCUACGGGAGGCAGCAGUGGGGAAUAUUGCACAAUGGGCGGAAGCCUGAUGCAGCAACGCCGCGUGCGGGAUGACGGCCUUCGGGUUGUAAACCGCUUUCGCCUGUGACGAAGCGUGAGUGACGGUAAUGGGUAAAGAAGCACCGGCUAACUACGUG